rnacentral:rRNA from 1 species
CCAGCACCCCGAGUGGUCGGGACGAUUAUUGGGCCUAAAGCAUCCGUAGCCGGUUUUACAAGUCCUCCGUUAAAUCCAACUGCUUAACAGAUGGGCCGCGGAGGAUACUAUAAGACUAGGAGGCAGGAGAGGCAAGCGGUACUCAGUGGGUAGGGGUAAAAUCCGUUGAUCCAUUGAAGACCACCAGUGGUGAAGGCGGCUUGCCAGAAUGCGCUCGACGGUGAGGGAUGAAAGCUGGGGGAGCAAACCGGAUUAGAUACCCGGGUAGUCCCAGCUGUAAACGAUGCAGACUCGGUGAUGGACUAGCUUUAUGCUAGUCCAGUGCCGCAGGGAAGCCGUUAAGUCUGCCCGCCUGGGUAGUACGGUCGCAAGACUG